rnacentral:lncRNA from 1 species
CUCACUUCAAAAUUAGUCUGAUUUCAAUACCCGAGUCCGUACGAGCUAGGCCGAAUUGGGCGUGCAAGCCCCGGAGCUGCUCGGCCAUACGUCACCCUGAAUCAAAUUGAAUUCAUUCACUACAACCUCAUCAAUUUGUGUGGCAUAGAUUGUGUGGCAUAGAUUGAGAUAGCCUUUCUUAGAUCUGCAUUCUCUGUGAAAAAUCACCACACAUACCUGCAUACAUUCACAGAGGAGAGGUAGCUUGAAAACCUAGAAGAGAGAAAUGGCGAACAUGAUCAUGGCUUCCUCCAAAGCCCCAAUCACAUCCACCCCUUCCACCUGUUCCUCCACAAGAAUCAAGGUCCUCCCCAAAUUAGCCUUGCCCAGUAUCCCAAAACCCCACCAACUCCUCUCCCUGACCGCUUCUUCCCUCAAGUCCAUUUCUGUAAUUCUUGCAGCCACCUCCUUCUCACUUUCACAGGCACCUCCCUCCUUGGCUGAAGAAUUCGAAAAGGCGGCGCUUUUCGACUUCGAUUUGACACUCCCUAUUAUUGCGGCUGAAUUCUUGUUCCUCAUGUUUGCUUUGGACAAGAUUUAUUACAGCCCUCUGGGGAAAUUUAUGGAUGAAAGGGAUGCAGCUAUAAGGGAGAAGCUGAGCAGCGUAAAGGACACUUCUGCAGAGGUGAAACAGUUGGAAGAUCAGGCUACGGCUGUGAUGAAGGCUGCUAGGGCAGAGAUAUCGGCUGCGUUGAACAAGAUGAAGAAGGAGACUCAGCUUGAGGUGGAGCAGAAGAUAGCUGAGGGGAGGAAGAAAGUGGAGGCUGAGUUGCAAGAGGCUUUAGCUAAUUUGGAUAAGCAGAAGGAGGAUACUAUUAAGGCUCUCGACUCGCAGAUUGCUGCUCUUAGUGAGGAUAUUGUCAAGAAGGUCCUCCCUGUUUCUUGAAGUUCUUGAUCAUGCGAUUGUAACUUGUCCAUUUGUAUUAUCUUAAGGUCUUACUUACUGUAUCAAAUACUCAAAAUGUUGCCUAUUUUAUUUUUAAUAGUUUUGUAAUUAAUAUGGAAUUUAAUAUUUGUCAAUUCAUAAGAAUCUUGUAAAGCUCCCUCAAGCUUAUCAAGCUAUCGAAACUGUCUGGAGUAGUCUCAGACAAACAUUGUUAGGAAGAUUCAAGAGGACUAGAUGUUCUAAACCACUGAUUUCUGAAGGAAGGGAGCUCACUAAACAGUUGCUUGAGAGGUCUAAGAAUUCUGAUAAAGAUGGGAGGCUAAUAAUUUCUUUGGUAUAUAACCACUAAGAUUGUUUUGAGAAAGAUCAGCUGAUAAUAAAGAAUGGCAUUUUCCAAGAGUAUUAGGUAUGUUACCCUGCAAAUUAUUACCUUGCAGGUAGAGUUCCGUCAAUGUGGUUAAAUGUCUGAUAGAAGAUGGUAUUUCCGCAGAUAAUCUGUUCUCAUAAAGAGAUAAUAUUCUUAACUGUUGAAGCUUUCCUACAGAAUUACGAAUACUACCAGUGAGUUGGUUUGACAACAAAUACAUUGUCUCCAAGUUUUAACCAACAGUAAAUCGCCUAAGCCCUGAAAUAUUGCCUUGGCAAAACUCCCUGGAAAUUGUUUUCACUCAGAUGUAGAAGGCGAAAGUGAGUACAAUUUAGCAAGGAUGACAUGAAAUCCAAGUCAUCAGGUUUCACAUAUCCAAGCUCGAUCUGGAUUGAGUGCAAGACAAUCAAGUUUCUGCAUAUUUCAAAAAGAUGGUUCUAGCCAUUUAUACUUAUAGCAAACGACAUAAGCUCUUGGCAUUCAAACCGAGGAAGGAAUAUUUCCUAUUAGUUGAUUUCUUGCAAUAUUUAGCUUUACCAGUCUUUGGAGAGUAGAGAAUAUGCCUUGUAGUAGCCCCCUUGGAGUUUAUUUCGGGACAUAUCAAUGUUUAGUCAAUGAUGUCAAGUUGAAAAAAGACCGAGGAUGGUGCCAGAAAGGUUGUGAGGCCAAGCUCCCCAUGCUCCGGACCUGCAGUGGAUCAGAGUCUUGAUAGAAAGCAAUGUAACACAAUCUAUGAUGUUUCCAGUAAGUACAUCUCGUGGAUAUUGAGAAGGUUGACAGGAAGAUCAAGAGAUAAGGAAUCAAGAAAUGGAAACAAAUAGAGCUCAUUGUUAAUUUUGUUUGGACAUUGAUCAGUGUGAAG